AACAUACAAAUAAAUAAAUUAAUUAAUUAAUAAAUAAGGCUGAGCAUGCAUAGACAAAUCCACAGAGUCAUUUUGACCCUUUGAAAUAUUCACACUUUCCACAGAGUCAUUUUGACCCUUUGAAAUGUUCACGCUUUCCUACAGCUAAUCAUUGGUAAAGACUUCUUUAUUUUUUUAAUUUAUUAUAUUUUUAGUAAAGACUUCUUUAAAUGGCAUAUUAAGAAAGAUAUAAACAUGAGAAAAUUAUUUGUGUUCUAAUUUGUUAACCUUUCUGUCUCCCUCUGCUCCCAAUUCCUAUGUACACCACCGAGCAUUCAGUUGCAUUCGAUACUCCAGGCAUCAAGAGCCUAUUGCAAGCACCAGGCAGCAGAGGAACAUCUGCCACUAUUUAUCUUACUCAAAGUUGAAGAGUAAAUGUAGAUGCAGACCCAAAAACUUAAAAUGGAGAAAGGUUACAAGCUCAUCAAAAGUUUAGGCCUUGCUCCUAUUAUGUCUUUCUUACCUUUUGGAGAAGGAAAAUGGAUGCAACAAUACUCACCAGAACACAAACUUUGAAGCUCUAUUCAAAGCUACAGUAAAGUAACCCAGAAAGCCAUGUUUCUGAAAGAACGGGUCAGCUCUGAUUGUGCACUGGGAAUUCUAUUGGCACCACCGUUUAGCAAGGACCUGAGAAUGUAUCAGUGAAGGACCAAAAAAAUGAAGGGCUAAAGAUUACAAACUGAACUUCUUAAAAUAAGGCAGCUCUAUGCUUUCUGUGAAUCAACUAAGAAGCACGUGAACAGUUUUAUGGAUGACCUGUUUAAGGGGCCAAGAUGGUAGACCACAUGUAAUGUUUAGAAAUCCCCAUUUGGAUAAAACGUUGGAAAUCAUCUGGUCGCUGGGCUUCAAGCUGUGUUCCAGGGCAAUACCUGAAGCAACCCAAGAGAGGUAACAGGAAGGGGGGCCAAAGAGGUUCUGACUGAGCUCCUUUCCCUUGCCAGUAGGAGAUGCUUUGCUUUUCACUGUUUUAUACCUUGCAGUACCAAGAAAAGACUGUAAUUCUAAAAUGCUGUUACUGAAAAAAAAAAGUCAGAAAAAUGAAAUUUGGCUCAUUCCCCCACAUUUUUAUAUAAGGAAAUGGAGAC
rnacentral:lncRNA from 1 species